ACGCUGGCGGCAGCUUUACACAUGCAAGUCGAACGGUAACGCGGACUUCGGUCUGGCGACGAGUGGCGAACGGGUGAGUAAUGCAUCGGAACGUGUCCAUUUGUGGGGGAUAGCCCGGCGAAAGCCGGAUUAAUACCGCAUAAUCUCUUCGGAGGAAAGUGGGGGACCCUCGGGCCUCACGCAGAUGGAGCGGCUGAUGUCGGAUUAGCUUGUUGGUAGGGUAAAAGCCUACCAAGGCAACGAUCCGUAGCUGGUCUGAGAGGAUGAUCAGCCACACUGGAACUGAGACACGGUCCAGACUCCUACGGGAGGCAGCAGUGGGGAAUUUUGGACAAUGGGGGCAACCCUGAUCCAGCCAUGCCGCGUGCGGGAAGAAGGCCUUCGGGUUGUAAACCGCUUUCAGACGGAAAGAAACAGUGCAAGUUAAUAACUUGCAUCAAUGACGGUACCGUCAGAAGAAGCACCGGCUAACUACGUGCCAGCAGCCGCGGUAAUACGUAGGGUGCGAGCGUUAAUCGGAAUUACUGGGCGUAAAGAGUGCGCAGGCGGCUCUCUAAGACAGGUGUGAAAUCCCCGGGCUUAACCUGGGAAUGGCGCUUGUGACUGGAGAAGCUAGAGUGUG
rnacentral:rRNA from 1 species